AAGCAAUGCAGAUUUAUAAGGCAUGUAUUGAGCUCAAGAUUCUAAGGGGCAGAAGAGGAGAGCAUUAGCCCAUGCCCUGGUGUGAAGGUCCUCUGCAACCCAGCUGAAGAAUGAAGGCACCGUAGAGCAAAGAAAGGUCUGGGAUGCUGAAAAGAGAGCAGAUCCCGAUUCUUGAGAUUUGAAGAACAAGUGGCCGGUCUCUGGGGCUCCAUCAUCACUUCCCAAAUCUACCUGGCAGGGAGGCUCUAGAGGCUUACAACUGUCUGACCAGCAAACACAGCAGGGUCCAGAGGUGAAUCUCUGCUUUAAGUGGUCAGAGAAGAUGAGCGAGAAGAGUUGGUGUAUCUGUACCCUGCCUCUGACAUCAACCACAUAUAGAGCCUGGAGGUAGUGGAGCAUUCACCGGACCUGACCUCAACUGGACAGAAGAAUGUGGUGGGCUGCUGGUGGUCAACACCGUUUUUCGCUUCCCUCACCCUUCCAGCCUAAUUCAGUGAGGACCAGAGUCUCUGCCCCGCCCGGACUUGGAGUCUUUAAGGCUGAGUGAGCACAGUAGAGCAUCUCGACUUCCUCUCCCCCUCCGUGUUGGCAGAGAGCUGAGAUUUCUGCGUUCACCUUUCAUAGCAACACAGUGGGAACCAAUUCUCUGCCCUUUCUCUUCCUGGUAGCUCUGAAGCCAAAUACUGAAAUGAUUUUAGAACUCCGAGAUGAGGUCGGGUGAUGGAGAAAGGCCAUGCGUUGAGAAGGUGUACAGGAAAACUGAAAUCCCAUCCAGUAAGUCUGUGUUCUGUGAAUCCAUGUUCUGUUUUCGAUGCUUGGGUGACAGGAGCCAGUCCUAUUACACCUUAACAGAGGUAGUGCCUGCUCCUAAGAUGAAGGCUGAAUGGGACUAAGGGUGGAUAAAUACAUACAAAAUACUGUCAUAGAGUUAAGAAGCAAACAGAUCUACCAAGAAUCAGGGAAAUCACAACACAAAUAGUGGGAGACAAUCAAUCAAUGGUUGCUCCCAAUGAAAUAAAGCCAACAGUGAACUCUCUAAGACUGUAAGAUGUUAUCACAAGCACGCAUCAAGAGCGAUUAUAAAUCCUCUUGAACUUUUGAAAAAUACAUCUCAGUGUGAUGGUUUGUAUAUGCUCAGCCCAGGGAGUGGCACUAUUAGAAGGUGUGGCUUUGUUGGAGUGGGCGUGUCUCUGUGGGUGUGGGCUUUAACACCCUCAUCUUAGCUGCCUGGAAGCCAGUAUUCUGCUAGCAGCCUUCAGAUGAAGAUGUAGAACUCUCAGCUCCACCUGUACCAUGCCUGCCUGGAUGCUGCCAUGUUCCCACCUUGAUGAUAAUGGACUGAAGCUCUGAACCUGUAAGCCAGCCCCAAUUAAAUGUCCUUAUAAG